GAUGAAGAACGCAGCAAAAUGCGAUAAGUAAUGUGAAUUGCAGAAUUCAGUGAAUCAUCGAAUCUUUGAACGCAUCUUGCGCUCCUUGGUAUUCUGAGGAGCAUGCCUGUUUGAGUGUCAUUAAAUUCUCAACUACACUGACUUUGAAUUGGUGUGGCUUGGAUUUGGGGGGAAAAUUGUUGUGGGCUUUUUGUAUAGUCUGCUCCCCUGAAAUUGAUUAGCGGUACCUUUGUGGAACUGUCUACAGGUGUGAUAAUUAUCUACAUCUUAGACAUCUGCUGGAAUGCUGCUUUCUAAACCUUACUUGUAUUGACAAUCUUGACCUCAAAUCAGGUAGGACUACCCGCUGAACUUAAGCAUAUCAAUAAGCGGAGGA
rnacentral:misc_RNA from 1 species